rnacentral:rRNA from 1 species
GAGUUUGAUCUUGGCUCAGAUUGAACGCUAGCGGCAUGCCUUACACAUGCAAGUCGAACGGCAGCACGGGAGCUUGCUCCUGGUGGCGAGUGGCGAACGGGUGAGUAAUGCAUCGGAACGUAUCCUGGAGUGGGGGAUAACGUAGCGAAAGUUACGCUAAUACCGCAUAUUCUGUGAGCAGGAAAGCGGGGGACCUUCGGGCCUCGCGCUCUUGGAGCGGCCGAUGUCGGAUUAGCUAGUUGGUGAGGUAAAGGCUCACCAAGGCGACGAUCCGUAGCAGGUCUGAGAGGAUGAUCUGCCACACUGGAACUGAGACACGGUCCAGACUCCUACGGGAGGCAGCAGUGGGGAAUUUUGGACAAUGGGGGCAACCCUGAUCCAGCCAUGCCGCGUGAGUGAAGAAGGCCU